rnacentral:lncRNA from 1 species
AGAGCGGUAUUUGCCUGCUUGUAGCAGUUCUUGUCUGAUCCGUGCAUUCGUAUCUUUCUUCAGUUGUACCAGAUGGUGUGGCGGCCCUUGUAAGGGCUACUGAUACUCCAGAUUCUAAAUUCUGGAUUUUAGAUAGCGAUGCACUGCGAAAUUAUGACCAACCUUUCCUGCUAUGGAAACGAAAGGCGUAUGCGAGUCUAGAAUCCAAAAUCCGGGAGCUGCGCAGCAACUUCACUUCCUUCAUCGUCCUAGGCACUGCAGGGAUAGGGAAAUCGUUCUUUGGCUAUCACUGGAUUAUUAGGCUGGGCCAAAUGGGGCAAGAAAAGGCGUUAUACAAGGUUGGCAAGGUUGUUUACAUCCUGAAUUUGCGAAGCCGAUAUGUUGAAGGUGGUUAUGACAUGAAUGGCCAAAUUAUACGCCAAAUGCUGGACUAUCAGUCAAUGUGGCUAGUGAUAGAUGGGAAGCAGGAGACGCCUUUACCUGGCAAGUGUCGAGUUCUUUUGGUUUGCUCAUCUAAGAAGAAAAACUACCAGGAGUUUGGCAAGGGGGGACUUUGUUGCAUGCUUUAUAUGUCGGUGUGGUCCAGGGAGGAGAUUGGGGAAUUCCUUGACGACUUUGAGCCUUACCGAACUAGUUAUGGGAACAUGAAUGUGGUGGACAGAAAGGAAGGGCUUGACAACUUCGAUUAUUUGGGUGGAGUUCCUAGGUAUGUACUGCGUGCAACAAAGCUGAAAGAGGGGAAGUCCUUGGCCAAGAGUGCGGUUGAGUCGUUCGGAUCAAGUGUAUCCAAAGCGGCUAAAAUUUUGUCAGGAGGGUACGUGAAAAAAGUCAGCGACUGCAUUCUGCACAUCGUGGCAACUGAGGACCACAGCGAAAAGACAUCAGUUUGCAAGCGAGGCUUUGAUGACAGAGCUUGGGAAUCAAUAUCUGCGUGCUGGAGCUGUGCCUGUGGUGGGAUUUCUGAAAGAAACAUUCACCUGCCCUUGGGUGGGGGCUCUGUGGGGGAAGCUUUAUGAGCCUCUUGUGCAUAGGCUACUGUUGAAGGGUGGUGAUUUUGUUAUCAAGGCAGUUUAUGCUAAUGGACGCUCCGGUCCUGAGACUUCCGUUCAUAUUGGACCUCAUAUCAUGCUGGAGGCAAGUUCUGCGGGUGAGUUUGGAGGAAAGAUGGGGAUGGGCAAGUACGUGCAACCAACUUCUGAAGUCUUUCCGAGCAUUGAUUCUGGUAUGGAUGAAGACAUUCUCAUUCAGGUCUUCAAGAGAGUGGAUGGAAAACACGGCUUUGAAGCGAGUGGCUUAGAAAUGGUGGAUGCUGCGUUGAAGAGACCAAGCUACAGGUUGUGGUCGUGUGUUCCAAAAGAGACGUUUCCGCGAACUGGAUGGCAGCAAUACCAGAAUAAUAAUGAUGGAGACUAUGGGAGAGGAAAUGCAGUAUUUGGGAAGAAGCAGCAGUUUGUUGUUCAAGUGGACUACGAGGAUGCACGAUGAAGCUUCUGUUUUUUUAUAUAUAUACUUACAAUAUAAAUUUCUCGGUAAAUCAAAGUUUUUAAUAAAAUACUAGAAAUUGCCCAGCAAAAAGCAG